rnacentral:lncRNA from 1 species
AUUAUUUCAGUUGUUGUUGUCUGGUUUUGUGUUCACAGGAGACUUGAGGAAUUAGAGUGAGUCAAAAGAAACAAAUUGGUUGUUAUAAUAGCAAUAAUCUGCAUGUAGAUAUAUAUUUCUCUUUUAAAAUUAUAAUGAAAAAUCAGAAAAUCAAGGCUAUUCAUUUAAAAAAAUGUUAGACUUAAAGGUGCCUGUGUUUUCACUGGAGAGAUUUCUCAAGGGCCAGAUUUGGAGAAACAUGCUAUGGAAGGAGCAAGACAGAUGAAGAGUUGCCUACAUGUUGGAGUGGAAUUCCGUGAGGAAGUUUUGCAAGUUUCAGUCCAUCGUCAGUUGGCUUUGUUCCUUUGGACUUGUGGCAAGGUGCCAUUUCAAGGCAGGAGCACAUGGAGGACCAAAACCGCUCAUCUCAUGGCCAAGAAGUGAAUGAAAAGCAGAGACCAGAGCCCACAGUCCAUCUGGGAGGCAUUGCUGGCAGUGACCCAGAGCUUUCCUACACCCACGUCUUAUAGGUUCUACAAUUCCCCAGUAACACCAGUCUGAGGAGCAAGUCUUUAGCACAUAGACUUUGGAGGGACAUUUAAAAUUCAAAAUCCAGCAGAUGGGUGGGUAUACACUGAGUUUUUCUUUCAGCU